rnacentral:rRNA from 1 species
GCAUAUCAAUAAGCGGAGGAAAAGAAACUAACAAGGAUUCCCCUAGUAACUGCGAGUGAACCGGGAAAAGCUCAAAUUUUGAAUCUGGCGGUCCUUGCGGCCGUCCGAGUUGUAAUCUAGAGAAGCGUCUUCUGCGCUGGACCGUGUACAAGUCUCCUG